rnacentral:misc_RNA from 1 species
CCAGAUUUGGUGGGGCAUGCGCCUGCAAUCUCUUCAGAUUCAGCAUUAGUGGCUGAUGAUGUUUUGGUUCCUGUGCGGGCGAGACCAAUUGAUGCGCCAGCUCCUUUCGUUGCUUCGGUUGAUGAGCAGGCGGCGCCUGUGUCUCCCCCGCAUCCAACACUGGUGGAUCCUGUUAUUACGUCAUUUAUUUCUGAUGAUCCGGCUGCUGUGUCUGAAGAUUUGCCUGCUUCGGGUUGGGUGGAUUCUUCCCUCGCGGUGUCCCAGUUUUCACCAGCUCCCCCUCAACCGCGGUACUGCAUGCCUCUGAAGGUUUAUUUUAGAAGGGGUCGGAGGACGCAACAACAUCGGUUGGAUACCUUGACUGGUCCUCGGUCUGUCCCUUGCUGCAUCUCGGACAUUGGUCUGGCUGUUGAACCUUCGCAGACACCUGAACUGG